CUUCCGCCGGCGACCGGCGCACGGGUGAGUAACACGUAUGCAACCUGCCCCUGUCAGGGGGACAACCCGCCGAAAGGCGGGCUAAACCUGCGUACAUGCCACCGGGGCAUCCCGGAGGCAGGAAAGGCUUCGGCCGGACAGGGAUGGGCAUGCGGCGCAUUAGGCAGUAGGCGGGGUAACGGCCCACCUAACCGACGAUGCGUAGGGGUUCUGAGAGGAAGGUCCCCCACACUGGUACUGAGACACGGACCAGACUCCUACGGAAGGCAGCAG
rnacentral:rRNA from 1 species